rnacentral:siRNA from 1 species
CAUAAACUGGAGAAAGGGGCA